rnacentral:rRNA from 1 species
UACGUAGGGUGCGAGCGUGAAUCGGAAUUACUGGGCGUAAAGCGUGCGCAGGCGGUUUUGUAAGACAGAUGUGAAAGCCCCGGGCUUAACCUGGGAAUGGCAUUUGGGACUGCAAGGCUGGAGUUUGGCAGAGGAGACUGGAAUUCCUGGUGUAGCAGUGAAAUGCGUAGAUAUCAGGAGGAAUACCGAUGGCGAAGGCAGGUCUCUGGGCUAUAACUGACGCUCAUGCACGAAAGCGUGGGGAGCAAACAGG